AAUUAAUAAAUUAUUUAAAAUUUAUGUUUAAGAUUUAUAUUAAUAAAAAUAUUUUUAUAAAAAUUUUAUUUUUAGUAUUAUUAAAUGAACAAAUUAUGUUUAUUAUAGUUUAUUAGUAUAUUGAUAGGAUUUUGAAAAAAUUGAAAAAAAAAUUUUUGUAAAAGUAUAUUUUAUUUAUAGUACCUUGUGUAUCAGGGUUAAUUUAAAAAAUAAUAUUAAUUAUAUUUUUCUCGAAUUUAAAAGAUCUAUUUAAGAAGUAUUAUUUUUAAUGUUUAAUAAUUAUAUUAAAUUCUUAAAUAGAAAUGAAAUGUUUUUCGUUUUUAAAGUUAUCUAGUUUUUUAAUAAAUAAAUUCAAUUUAUAUAUUAAUUGUAUGAUUAUUUUAUUUGUAUAAAAUAAUUAUUUUUAAUAUAAAAGUUUUAAGGGAUUAGCUUUAAUUCUUAAAUUUAUAAUUAAUUUUUGAUUUGAUUUGAUUUUAUUUUAUAAUUUAGGCUUAGAAUUUGCUUUAAUUUUAAAAUUGUUAUAAAUUUAUAAACUAAAUUUAUUUAAAAAUUUUAUUUUAGUUUAAUUUUAUAUUAAAAUAAUUUAAUUAAUAAAUAAUUAAUUAAAAUAAUGAUUAAAUUAGUAAAUUUUAUAUAUAUAUAUGAAUAUAUAUGAAUAUAUAUAUGAAUAGUUAAUUUUAAGGAAUUCGGCAAAAAUUUAACUCGCCUGUUUAACAAAAACAUGUCUUUUUGAGGUAUAAAUAUAAAGUCUGAUCUGCUCAAUGAAAUAUUUAAAUAGCCGCAGUAUUCUAACUGUGCGAAGGUAGCAUAAUAAUUUGUCUUUUAAUUAGAGACUGGAAUGAAUGAUUUAACGAAGUUAAAACUUUCUCAAAAUUAUUAAUUUUUGAAUUUAAUUUUUAAGUUAAAAAGCUUAAAUAUUAUUAAAGGACGAGAAGACCCUAUAGAGUUUUAUAACUUAUUAAUUAUAUUAUUAUUUAAUUAUUAUUUUAUAUAGUGUAAGUUAUUUUGUUGGGGAGACAAAUAAAUUUAAAAAACUUUUUAAAAAUUAAACAUAGAUUCAUGAAUUAAUGAUCCUAAUUUUUAGAUUAAUAGAUUAAAUUACCUUAGGGAUAACAGCGUUAUUUUAUUUAAAGUUCUUAUUAACAAUAAAAAUUGCGACCUCGAUGUUGGAUUAAAGUUUAUUUUAGGUGUAGAAACUUAAUAAUUAGGUCUGUUCGACCUUUAAAAUUUUACAUGAUCUGAGUUCAAACCGGUUUAAGCCAGGUUGGUUUCUAUCCUUAUUUAAAUGAAAAUUUUUAGUACGAAAGGACCAUAAUUUUAAAUUAUUUUAAUUUUAGUUAAUGAAUUUUAUUAAUUGUUU
rnacentral:rRNA from 1 species